UAUACAUGCAGUCGAACGAACUCUGAGUAUUGAUUGGUGCUUGCAUCAUGAUUUACAUUUGAGUGAGUGGCGAACUGGUGAGUAACACGUGGGAAACCUGCCCAGAAGCGGGGGAUAACACCUGGAAACAGAUGCUAAUACCGCAUAACAACUUGGACCGCAUGGUCCGAGUUUGAAAGAUGGCUUCGGCUAUCACUUUUGGAUGGUCCCGCGGCGUAUUAGCUAGAUGGUGGGGUAACGGCUCACCAUGGCAAUGAUACGUAGCCGACCUGAGAGGGUAAUCGGCCACAUUGGGACUGAGACACGGCCCAAACUCCUACGGGAGGCAGCAGUAGGGAAUCUUCCACAAUGGACGAAAGUCUGAUGGAGCAACGCCGCGUGAGUGAAGAAGGGUUUCGGCUCGUAAAACUCUGUUGUUAAAGAAGAACAUAUCUGAGAGUAACUGUUCAGGUAUUGACGGUAUUUAACCAGAAAGCCACGACUAACUACGUGCCAGC
rnacentral:rRNA from 1 species